GAGGUCACCUGGGCAACACACAUACCAGAGUUGGAAGUAUACAGAGAAGAUUAGCACAGCCCCUGCACAAAGAUGACAUGGAAAUGCCUGAAGCCAUCCAUAUUUAA